UGAAACCAUAUUUACAGUAAAACUGGAUAUCUAAGCAUGAGUGAAUAAAGGACAGGGAUUCAGAGGAAGAGCUUGUGUGGUGGAAGCACCUCUAAGUACUGGAAGGUCCCAGGUUCUGGAUUGUAUUGCAUGGCUGGGACAGAGUGGAAAUGUUACGUUUACAAAGCCCAGAUUGUUAAAUCAGAGUACUCCAAAAUUGGAUACUUAUCCAAACAGGAUACAGUGAUAGAUCUAUGGUUCCCCAUGAAGAUGCCUGUGGUUUUCUAUUCAAACCCACAGAUUCAAGACCCCAGAGCCAUUUUAUUAAUCCCUUUGUGGAUGAUUCUUCUCCAGAGCUUCCCACGACUCCGGAGCUGAAGAUCGAUCCUCCAUCAGGAGAGGUAGCCGAAGGGCACACCCUGCUUAUGACUUGUUCCUCCAAUGGGAACAACACAGAGAAGAGUUUCCAUUUCUACAAGGAUGGAGCUGAGAUUGGGGUCCCCAACCAGGCAUCUCUGAAUUGCUCUGAAGGGUCUACUGGUGUCCCUUCCGAGGUCUCUCUGAGCAUCCGCCUACAAGCCCAGCCCAACCACACAGGGGAAUAUACCUGCAGGUAUGAAGUAAACAUGAGUGGCAGGUGGAUCUUGUCUCCCUGGAGCCAGAAGGUCAACAUCACAGGUGAGUCCUUUGGGGGAGCGAGACUGCAGUGCCUCCAAGUGGGCAGAGCUUUCUUCCAAAGGUGGAUUUUCUGUGUUGUCGAAGGCUUUCAUGGCCGGGAUCACAGGGUUGUUGUAUGUCUUUCGGGCUGUGUGACCAUGUUCCAGAAGUAUUCUCUCCUGACGUUUCACCCACAUCUAUGGCAGGCAUCCUCAGAGGAAAAUCCUUCUGGAACAUGGUCACACAGCCCGAAAGACAUACAACAACCCGGUGGAUUUUCUGUUUUUAUGUUUUGCUUAAAAUUGAAGAACCCACUGAAGGGAGGAGAAAGGCUUGAUGUGAUCAGAUGGCACCAAGUGUUACACAUGAAGCAUGGCCAGUGAAGGUACAAUAGUUGGGGAACACCAGCAAUCUGGAUUGUGGACUUCAUACAUCUGAAUUAGACUUUUGUUUCACUUACAGUUGUAAAUACUGCUUCUUUUCACACAAAGGGCCUGUUUUAAGAAAAUCGACCCUGGGAAACAAUAAACUUCCUACUUGAUCUUUUCUUUUAUCAGUUUCCAGUUUGAUCCAAAAUUCAUACAUGCCAUGGUGGGCUGUUCGAUUUAUAUUCUUGCUGAUGAUUCCUGUCCCUUUCUGCUACCUGAGAAAGAUCAAUGAACCAUCAAAAGAAGACCAGGAAGAACCGGAGUCAGGAGAAAGGGAGAGCAUACCACUCCAGAGCCGUGGUCCCCAAACUUUUCCAAUCACAGAACCCUCCAGAAGGCUCCCCCCACCUCCCGCCUCACAGACCCCUAACCGUGUUCCUGAUCUUCCUGCAGAACCUUAACUGUGUCCCUACGUGUUGUUGUGAGGCUACAAAGCUCUUCCUUCUUUCAUGUACUGCUAUUUCCGCUGUGUUUUGGAAAUAAAGGGAUUCAAAUUUCUUUUA